AGUGAACGCUGGCGGUAGGCCUAACACAUGCAAGUCGAACGGCAGCACAUUAAUAGCUUGCUCUUACGGGUGGCGAGUGGCGUACGGGUGAGGAAUACAUCGGAAUCUACUUUUUCGUGGGUGAUCACGUAGGGAAACUUACGCUAAUACCGCAUACGACCUACGGGUGAAAGCAGGGGAUCUUCGGACCUUGCGCGAUUGAAUGAGCCGAUGUCGGAUUAGCUAGUUGGCGGGGUAAAGGCCCACCAAGGCGACGAUCCGUAGCUGGUCUGAGAGGAUGAUCAGCCACACUGGAACUGAGACACGGUCCAGAAUCCUACGGGAGGAAGCAGUGGGGAAGAUUGGACAAUGGGCGAAAGAAUGAUCCAGCCAUACCGCGUGGGUGAAGAAGGAAUUCGGGUUGUAAAGCCCUUUUGUUGGGAAAGAAAAGCAGAAGGUUAAUACCCCGCUGUUCUGACGGUACCCAAGGAAUAAGCACCGGCUAACUUCGUG
rnacentral:rRNA from 1 species